rnacentral:rRNA from 1 species
GAUGAACGCUGGCGGCGUGCUUAACACAUGCAAGUCGAACGGAAAGGCCCAAGCUUGCUUGGGUACUCGAGUGGCGAACGGGUGAGUAACGCGUGGGUGAUCUGCCCUGCACUUCGGGAUAAGCCUGGGAAACUGGGUCUAAUACCGGAUAGGACCACAUUUUGGAUGGUGUGGUGGAAAGUUUUUCGGUGUGGGAUGAGCUCGCGGCCUAUCAGCUUGUUGGUGGGGUAAUGGCCUACCAAGGCGUCGACGGGUAGCCGGCCUGAGAGGGUGUACGGCCACAUUGGGACUGAGAUACGGCCCAGACUCCUACGGGAGGCAGCAGUGGGGAAUAUUGCACAAUGGGCGCAAGCCUGAUGCAGCGACGCCGCGUGGGGGAUGACGGCCUUCGGGUUGUAAACUCCUUUCGCUAGGGACGAAGCGUUAUGUGACGGUACCUGGAGAAGAAGCACCGGCUAACUACGUG